ensembl:lncRNA
CAGAGUUGCUAUGAGGCUGGUGUCUGGUGGAGGAGCAUGUCCCAGCGCCAUUCCCAGACAUUUCCUGUCAUCACGAUGCUGGAGGGACAGACAAUCUUUUUGAUACUUACCAUUAUGUCAGUAAAAAUUUCCUGGUAAAAACGAAAAUACUGCUGAGUAGAACUGCUCUUGGUCUCCUGCUGACUCACACUGACAUCUUAAGCUGUAUAUCUCCUGGCAUAUGAAAAGGAAAACAGCCAUAUCUCUUUACUAGUCUGCUGUCUUCAUGCUCCAGAUGCUUCACAAAUUUCGUUCUUUCUCUUUUUUUUUCUCUUUUUUUUCCCUUCCCUUCUGUUAUUCAGUGUUUAACAAGGAGGCUGUUUGGUAUUUAGAACAAAGAUUUUACUUAGGCUUCAGCAAGAACAGCAGUUUUAAUCCACAGUUUGAUUUUAUGGAGCCACAAAACUUCGAAAAUGUACAUUCUUG